CUUUAAAAUUUAGCCUUUGUUAAGUAUAUGUGUGCAGUUUACUCAAUGCCACUAUACAUAUGAGACAUUUUAAGUUCUUACUGGAAACAUCUAGUUUUUCUAGGUGUUUAAAGUUCAUGGGCUGGGGAUUUAGCUCAGUGGUUCUGCCACCUGCCUCACAAGUGCAAGGUCCCGAGUUUGAUCUCCAGUACCAAAAAAAAAACCACAAAAACUCACACAUGUAAAAGUCAGGACUAAUAUAAUGCACUUUAAAUAUUUUUUAUUACUUCACAGGAAUGGUUGUAUUUUGAGAAUGGAACUGUCAAACUUGAUGUCUUGGAGAGUAUGCUGGCUAUUCAUGGGGUGCAGGAGGGGAAGUAUGCAGAGAGGAAGGUUUAUGCACUGAAUCAGCCCGCUGCAGAAAGGCAGGUCUGUGGAUGCCAUAGCAACAUCGUGAGUUGCGCGGAACACGCCAAAUCAGCCCGCACCCCGGCAGCAAUCCACUGGACCCCCCACCCCCCUGCUCCUCUGGACAGCCACUUGGUUCCACACUACAAAGAUGCAGAGGACACCGGACCACCAGGCCACUGUACUGGACAAAGAGCCUCAUCUGCCCCCUCAUGAGAACAAGCUAUUGCCAAACAAAGGACCGGGGUGCUGCUACAGGCAAUUCCUGGCUUCUCUGCAAACACCAGAGCUCAGUGCCAGCCUGAG
rnacentral:lncRNA from 1 species